UACGAAAAUGAUGAAGUCAAUAUCUUGCCAGCUCGUCUAUACCUUCAUCGCCACCUACUUUUUCAAACAAGGCAACCACUCAACCACGUAAACUAAAUCUCAGCCCUCAAUCAUUCAACUAAACUACCAAUCCUGGCCGUCUAUUCUCCCAGAUCCUCUAUAUAGUCACACACCCGCCCAUCAUUCUUUAUCUGCCUUAGCAGCUAAGCCCUAAUAUUCGUAGAUCCACUCUCCACGGUACCUCAUUCGAUCUUUUUGAUUCUAGCUUAGCCUAGAUCGCUUUGCGAUCUAUAUAUUGAUACCAGAUUUGAUAUUCGAAGCUCAUCCGAUGCUUCAACUCUAUGAUUUAACGGUCUGCUAUCUGGUUUGAUCGGAGAUCGAUAUGCAGCGGAGAUCUGUUUCUAUGGGUCUAAUUUUCAGGGGAUAUAUCCCGUCGGUGUGCAAGCAGAAGAUGACUCGAGAUAUCAUUUGAAGGUGGAGCGAUAAGCAGUUACAGAAUCUCCGUUGCUUGAUCAUGUAACCUGAGCAGUGAUUUGUUGAUUGAUUGAGGAGUGAUGGAAGGAGAUAAGGGGUGGGGCUGUGUGUUUUGUUUAUGAGGAUGAUGUAUAAGAUACAUAUAUCGGGACCAAAAGGCCAGGAGGCUGAGAGGUCUUGUUUAUUAUCUGUCAUCCGACCUUUGCCAUGACAGGUGCGCUUGCAUGGCAGGUCACCCAUCAUCUUAAUAAAACUAUUAUUUUCGUGUUUUUGAGGGGAGAUCGCACGGUGAAUUGCCCGGGUUCUCCCCUCUGCUGUCCGUGUCCCGCUUUCUCUUACUUCUCGUUGACUUACGAUCCUUGCCUGAGAUCGCGCUGCCCUUUCACGAGGCACUCCAACUCCAGCUUAGCAAUCAAUUCACAUCUUCUGCACAAUGUUGCAAUUUGUGAAGCUGACUCCAAGGUAUUCUCUCUUUUAUAACUCCAAUACGAAUUUCUUAUUUUUAGAAACAGCCAGUCAUAUUUCCAAGACUUAGAACAAACAUAAAAAAAAAAGAAUCAUAUUGUUUUUUUUAUUAUUAUCAUUGCAACCUGUUUUUCAUCUCUUAUCGGAUAUUUGGCCCCGUCAAAUAUAAAUCUUUGAUACAGUGGGCUAUCAAGAUAAUGCAACCAAAACUGGUUUCAACGCAAGAUUGGCAGUUACUAUAUAGCACCAAAACUAAGAGGUACUGAAUCUUAGGUUUGAUUUAUCAGGGUUCAUUUUUUAGUCUGUAAUACACGAAAGCACUUGCUCCCUACAACAACCCGUUAUUGCGUGGUAACAAUCAAGUUUAUUUCAUUAACAACGCGACCACUGCAAACGCAACCUAAGCAUAUCUGUGAUUCUUACAAACCAACCAUGGGCAUGAGGUUUGUUAUUUGGAUCUAGUUAAUCGGUUUCCUUUUCCUGUUAUCCUGUGCAAAACUAUUGUAUAAACAGCUUUGCUUUCGCUAUUUACAAUUAAGAUCUGGUUUUCAAGUAUGUAAAUUAGAAUAUUGUGCCCUGUGAUAUCCCUACCUUGGAGCUGUUUUCAAGUGUUUCUACUCUGUAUUGUUAUUUGCAACUGGCUCCUGUUGUUUGGUUCAUUGGAUCUCAAGUGAUGUAGCCUGAAGAUUGUGGUGUUGAAGAUGGGAUCUGUAGACCCCAUUGGAUGAUUGUUGGGCUGCUUGACUUCAAUGACCAUGGCUUUUAGUGAAAAAGAGAGAGCGCAGGACCCUUCACAACAUUCUUUAUGAAGCUGCAUCACGCUAAAUCAGCUAUUGAGGUGAUCAAGUUUUUCUCAAUGGUUCAAGAUUUGCGUUGCUACUUUUUGAUUAAUUUAGUUUGAGGUUGUCUUAAUGCAAUUUGCAGUUGGACAUUAAUAUAUUAGAUACAGACCUCGUUCUAGUCGUCAUAAUGCUAGUUUUUGGAAGCUGGAAAUGCCUUGUUUUCUCAAGCUUUGACAUUAGUUCGAGAUGUUUUAUCUGACGGUGUUUUCUUGCUUUACUUGUAUGUGUUUGCUCUCUAGACGUAGCUGUUUUGUUGAAAAUAUGUGGAGUUAUCUUUCCUUUGAUCGAUUUGAAGAAGAAAGCGGUCUUUCUUUUUGAAGCAUUUCCUGGAAUUAUGUAUUAUGUCCGAAGCUUUAUCGUUAUCUUCUUUCUCUCCUUGUUUGUCAGGUUUGCAAUCGAUCCUGAUAGUCUUGAAUUUGGCAGUCAAGAAUUGCGUUUCUUAAACCACGAUUUUCUAACAGGAGUUGGAGAAAUCAUUUGUGUAAAUUCACUUUUAUCUUAUAUAUGCACAAGAUGUUGGUUCCAGUCA